rnacentral:lncRNA from 1 species
GUUAACUUGAAGAGAAGAAGUGGAGAAGCAAAGGUGAUGAGUUGAGUUGGUGCUUGUGCAAAGACAUGGCAAGAUCUUCAGAGAUUGUAUGUUAAGGCUUUGGGAGAGUCUUAAGGCUUCAGAAGUGGUCUGAUGAGUGUGCAAAGAUAGGGUUUAAGUCCAGGAGGGACUUAGACACCAUUUAGAGAAGAUUUGGGUCAGACAGUAACUCCAAAGUUACCACAGUAACUUUAGAGAGUUACCACAGUAACUUUGGAGAGUUACCACAGUAAGAUUGGAGAAGUUUGGGCAAGUUGGUGUAAAAAUGAAUAGUGAAACACUAGUCACUAUUCAGGUUGACUAUUCACUUUUUGGGUCACUAUUCAGGAUGUUAAGAGUGCAUAGUGUAUGGAUAAGGCACCAAGGUUUGAAUCUAGUCAAAGGGAAUCAAGAAAGCAUCAAGAAGAUGCUGUGUGGAGCUGAUUGGUUACUUUGGGGCAUGGACAGGCUGGCUGGAGCUGUAAAGAGGAAGGCAGCCACGACCAUGAACCUAGACUGAUCUGUGGACAGAUACAAAGGAGCCUAAGAAGAACCAAUCAAAGCACAGCCCUUGUUUGAAUUAAAGUGAGCCAGCUUAGCUUAUCCAAUCAGCACACAUCACUCAGAUUAGAACAAGACCAACUCAUCCUCACCAUCCAUUCCUCUUAAGUUAUUUCUAUCCAUUAGAUAUAGGUUUAUGAGUUUGCAAGAGUGUAAAACAUAUAUAAAGACCCUCAUGGGCGUUUGUAACUCUCUUAAGAGAGUAUGGGGGAUUUCCCCAUCUCCUUCAUAAUUAUAAAAGUGUGUUCUUGGUCAGAUUCCCUUAAUCUACCCCUUUCUUAGUCUCUAAUCUCUUAAUCUCUCUAAGUCUCCUUAUUUCUGAUUCAAGUUCAUACUAGUUUCAUCAGACCUCUUAUUCAACUAGUUCAAGACCUUAUCUUUGCCUUUAAUGGCUUUUCAUACACAUACACAGCCAGAGCUCUCAAAUCUCAUAUGGUAUCAGAGCCAGGUUCAUCAGAACCUGAGCUGAGCUUCCGCAAAUCCACAGCUCUCAUCUCAGCUCAAACCAAACCCUUGAAGACAUUACCAGCCGAGUUCAGUUCUUGAAGAAGAAAGAAGCUUGAAGCGUGGAGUGUUCUCCUUAUCUCUCAACCGUGCCUGUCUUUAUCUGAUGGAGAGUGUCUCUUUGGAAGCAGAGGAGGAUGGAGAGGCGUCAUGAACCUCAAGCCAAAGCUCCUUGUCCAAGAGCUUAUCACAUCCGGAUACAAGAAAGAUGAAGCUAAGAGAAGCCGGUUUGAAGUAUGAAGAAAGGAGGGG